AAAAAAAAAAAAAAAAAGAGAUUAUUUUGGAUCUAAACAGUUACAAUAAUUGACAUCACAAUUUGCCAAAAGCAGUUAAAGAGAUUUGAAGAUCUGAAUUAAAGUUCACUAGACAUACUCUCUGUCAAAUCUGUACAGCAGAAUCAGCAUUUUAUUUUCCAGAAAAGAGAAAAACUUGUCUACUCUAAUGAAUAACUUUAAUUAUUGCCAAUAUCAUUAUCAAUUUUAUUCCCUAAAAAAAAUUCUCUCAUCUUUUUCCCCUGUUUUCCUCAAACCAAACAGAAAUUCGCAUCCGAAACAUCCAAUAUUCUCCAUAAAACAAAAUUAGAAUAAAUAAAUAAAUACACACCAUUUCCUUCACUGCUGCAUGU
rnacentral:misc_RNA from 1 species